UCUCAGUUCGGAUCGGAGCUGNAACCCGACUCCGUGAAGCUGGAUUCGCUAGUAAUCGCGCAUCAGCCAUGGCGCGGUGAAUACGUUCCCGGGCCUUGUACACACCGCCCGUCAAGCCAUGGGAGCCGGGGGUGCUUGAAGUGCGUCGCCGCAAGGCGCGCCCUAGAGCAAAACCGGUGACUGGGGCUAAGUCGUAACAAGGUACC
rnacentral:rRNA from 1 species